CGUACAAGCAGUGGGAGCCUCUUUAUGGGGUGACUGCGUACCUUUUGUAUAAUGGGUCAGCGACUUAUAUUCUGUAGCAAGGUUAACCGUAUAGGGGAGCCGAAGGGAAACCGAGUCUUAACUGGGCGUUAAGUUGCAGGGUAUAGACCCGAAACCCGGUGAUCUAGCCAUGGGCAGGUUGAAGGUUGGGUAACACUAACUGGAGGACCGAACCGACUAAUGUUGAAAAAUUAGCGGAUGACCUGUGGCUGGGGGUGAAAGGCCAAUCAAACCGGGAGAUAGCUGGUUCUCCCCGAAAGCUAUUUAGGUAGCGCCUCGUGAACUCAUCUUCGGGGGUAGAGCACUGUUUCGGCUAGGGGGCCAUCCCGGCUUACCAACCCGAUGCAAACUACGAAUACCGAAGAAUGUUAUCACGGGAGACACACGGCGGGUGCUAACGUCCGUCGUGAAGAGGGAAACAACCCAGACCGCCAGCUAAGGUCCCAAAGUCAUGGUUAAGUGGGAAACGAUGUGGGAAGGCACAGACAGCCAGGAUGUUGGCUUAGAAGCAGCCAUCAUUUAAAGAAAGCGUAAUAGCUCACUGGUCGAGUCGGCCUGCGCGGAAGAUGUAACGGGGCUAAACCAUGCACCGAAGCUGCGGCAGCGACACUAUGUGUUGUUGGGUAGGGGAGCGUUCUGUAAGCCGUUGAAGGUGUGCUGUGAGGCAUGCUGGAGGUAUCAGAAGUGCGAAUGCUGACAUAAGUAACGAUAAAGCGGGUGAAAAGCCCGCUCGCCGGAAGACCAAGGGUUCCUGUCCAACGUUAAUCGGGGCAGGGUGAGUCGACCCCUAAGGCGAGGCCGAAAGGCGUAGUCGAUGGGAAACAGGUUAAUAUUCCUGUACUUGGUGUUACUGCGAAGGGGGGACGGAGAAGGCUAUGUCAGCCGGGCGACGGUUGUCCCGGUUUAAGCAUGUAGGCGGAGGUUCCAGGUAAAUCCGGUACCUUUUAACGCUGAGGUGUGAUGACGAGGCACUACGGUGCUGAAGUGAUAAAUGCCCUGCUUCCAGGAAAAGCCUCUAAGCAUCAGGUAACACGAAAUCGUACCCCAAACCGACACAGGUGGUCAGGUAGAGAAUACCAAGGCGCUUGAG
rnacentral:rRNA from 1 species